UACGUAGGGUGCGAGCGUUAAUCGGAAUUACUGGGCGUAAAGGGCGCGUAGGCGGCCUGCUAAGUCACACGUGAAAUCCCUCGGCUCAACCGGGGAACUGCGUGUGAUACUGGCGGGCUCGAAUUCGGGAGAGGGAUGUGGAAUUCCAGGUGUAGCGGUGAAAUGCGUAGAUAUCUGGAGGAACACCGGUGGCGAAGGCGGCAUCCUGGACCGAGAUUGACGCUGAUGCGCGAAAGCUAGGGUAGCAAACGGG
rnacentral:rRNA from 1 species